CCCUUAGACGUUCUGGGCCGCACGCGCGCUACACUGACCAGUGCAACAAGCAUCCGUCCUUGGCCGACAGGCCCGGGCAAUCUUUGAACGCUGGUCGUGGUGGGGAUAGACUUUUGCAAUUUUUGGUCUUCAACGAGGAAUUCCUAGUAAACGCAAGUCAUCAACUUGCAUUGAUUACGUCCCUGCCCUUUGUACACACCGCCCGUCGCACCUACCGAUUGAAUGGUCCGGUGAAGCCUCCGGAUUGGCGCGCACCUCGGUGCCGCCGAGAAGUUGGCUAAACCUUACCAUUUAGAGGAAGGUGAAGUCGUAACA
rnacentral:rRNA from 1 species